UCGAACAGUUGGUGUGGACGUGCUGCCAUGAGACGAUCCAGACUGUUGAAGGAGGCAGGGACCUAAUGGCUAGAGAUAGAGUGACAUGCCGCAUUGAUGGUGGAGGGGACAACGAUUCCACGUGUCACCAUGCGUUCAAGAGGGUCAUGUGGGCAUUGAUUGUUGGGGAUAGAGAAGUGACUGCGGCCGUUGAGGGGUCGUGUGCAUGGAAGCUAGCAGCUGAUGUGUCGCUUGGUGAGAGGGGAGUGUGGGCGCGUGUGAAGGGAGAGCACAUCGGGUUUCAUUGUGAGAGGAUUGAGCAACUUUUAUUGCUUCCUGCGCACGGGGAUGCUAACCAUUGAUUCCUUGCAAUGAUCCAACAGUAGCGAGGGGCAUGGUUCUAAACAGUUGAUGUGGGUGAAUCGUGAGCAUUGGAGGCGAUAUGGAUCCUGCAGUGAUUAGAGAGUCACAUGGGGUACUUUGAUCGGAUGAGUGAGGACUUGCCAACGUGUGCAAAUGCUACUGAGCUGAUGCGAAAAGGAAACGUGGCUUAGAUCUUGGUACUGCGCCACUGCUGAUCCCUACCCUGUUGAGGUUUGAAGAACAGGAACCCUGGUUCAGGCCACCAUCAGUUCGUCUGAACAAUUUGGACCGUCGAUGGUGUUUAAAGCGAGAGGCUCAAACUUGAACACCAAGGAGUGCAAGAUAAGUGGCUGAGGUGAUCCAUGUGUCAACCCCAGACUUGCGGGCUUUUUGGAGUGCUCCAGCUUGGCAAGCCCAGAUUGGAGGAUCUGGCAUUUUAAUUUUUUAUUUUCCUUUUAUUUAUUGUAAUUUCUACAUGUACCCCCCUAAGUUGUCGAUGAUGCAACUAUUAUUUGUACAACUACUUUGUAUGUACCUAUUUUCACUUUCCUACA